rnacentral:rRNA from 1 species
UGGAAGUAAAAGUCGUAACAAGGUCUCCGUUGGUGAACCAGCGGAGGGAUCAUUACCGAGUUAUUCAACUCAUCAACCCUGUGAACAUACCUAAACGUUGCUUCGGCGGGAAUAGACGGCCCCGUGAAACGGGCCGCCCCCGCCAGAGGACCCUUAACUCUGUUUCUAUAAUGUUUCUUCUGAGUAAAACAAGCAAAUAAAUUAAAACUUUCAACAACGGAUCUCUUGGCUCUGGCAUCGAUGAAGAACGCAGCGAAAUGCGAUAAGUAAUGUGAAUUGCAGAAUUCAGUGAAUCAUCGAAUCUUUGAACGCACAUUGCGCCCGCCAGUAUUCUGGCGGGCAUGCCUGUUCGAGCGUCAUUACAACCCUCAGGCCCCCGGGCCUGGCGUUGGGGAUCGGCGGAGCCCCCCGUGGGCACACGCCGUCCCCCAAAUACAGUGGCGGUCCCGCCGCAGCUUCCAUCGCGUAGUAGCUAACACCUCGCGACUGGAGAGCGGCGCGGCCACGCCGUAAAACACCCAACUCUUCUGAAGUUGACCUCGAAU